CGCCGCGUGCGGGAUGAAGGCCUUCGGGUUGUAAACCGCUUUCAGCAGGGAUGAAAACAGACAGUACCUGCAGAAGAAGCCCCGGCUAACUACGUGC
rnacentral:rRNA from 1 species